AACGCUGGCGGCGUGCUUAACACAUGCAAGUCGAACGGUUCAAUACUUGACACUGAAUGUUUUAAAAGCAAAAAGGAAAGAGCAGAGACAGCUGAUGCGAAGAAAUAAGAGCAUUACGCGAUGACAAAAAAAGACUAAACAAGGAAAUUAAAAACAUUGAGUGUUGAGUAUUGGAUAGUGGCGGACGGGUGAGUAACGCGUGGGUAACCUACCUGUAAGCGGGGGAUAACAGUUGGAAACGACUGCUAAUACCGCAUAAGCUUCCUGAUUAAUUGGGAAGUAAAGAUGGCCUCUUAACAAAGCUGUCGCUUACAGAUGGGCCCGCGUCUGAUUAGCUAGUUGGUGGGGUAAAGGCCUACCAAGGCGACGAUCAGUAGCCGGCCUGAGAGGGUGGACGGCCACACUGGGACUGAGACACGGCCCAGACUCCUACGGGAGGCAGCAGUGGGGAAUAUUGCGCAAUGGGGGAAACCCUGACGCAGCGACGCCGCGUGAGCGAAGAAGGCCUUAGGG
rnacentral:rRNA from 1 species